AAACAAACAUGGAUAGCCCCAGUAACGGCGAGUGAAGCGGCUACAGCUCAAAUUUGAAAUCUGGCUCCUUCGGGGUCCGAGUUGUAAUUUGCAGAGGAUGCUUCGGCAUUGGCGGCGGUCUAAGUUCCCUGGAACAGGACAUCGCAGAGGGUGAGAAUCCCGUACGUGGGCGCCUGCCUUUGCCGUGUGAAGCUCCUUCGACGAGUCGAGUUGUUUGGGAAUGCAGCUCUAAAUGGGAGGUAAAUUUCUUCUAAAGCUAAAUAUUGGCCAGAGACCGAUAGCGCACAAGUAGAGUGAUCGAAAGAUGAAAAGUACUUUGGAAAGAGAGUCAAACAGCACGUGAAAUUGUUGAAAGGGAAGCGCUUGCAGCCAGACGUGCCCGCAGUUGCUCACCCAGGCUCCGGCCCGGGGCACUCUUCUGCGGGCAGGCCAGCAUCGGUUCGGGCGGUCGGACAAAGGCCUCUGUCAAGUACCUUCCUUCGGGUUGGCCUUAUAGGGGAGGCGCAAUGCGACCAGCCCGGACCGAGGUCCGCGCAUCUGCUAGGAUGCUGGCGUAAUGGCUGUAAGCGGC
rnacentral:rRNA from 1 species